GCUCGCCUCGACAGCACAUAUACAAAAAUUGGGAUGAUACAGAGACGAUUAGUAGGGCCCCUGUGCAAGGAUGGCAUGUAAAUUCACGAAGCAUUCCAGAUUUAA